AUUGAACGCUGGCGGCAGGCCUAACACAUGCAAGCCGAACGAGUGGCGGACGGGUGAGUAAUGUCUGGGAAACUGCCCGAUGGAGGGGGAUAACUACUGGAAACGGUAGCUAAUACCGCAUACCAUCGGAUGUGCCCAGAUGGGAUUAGCUAGUAGGUGGGGUAACGACUCACCUGGGCGACGAUCCCUAGCUGGUGUGAGAGGAUGACCAGACACACUGUAACUUAGACACGGACCAGACUCCUACGGGAGGCAGCAGGGGGGAAUAUUGCACAAUGGGCGUAAGCCUGAUGCAUCCAUGCCGCGUGUAUGGAGUAGGCCUUCGGGUUGUAAAGUACUUUCAGCGAGGAGGCAUUACUCGCAGAAGAAGCACCGGCUAGCUCCGUGCCAGCAGCCGCGGUGAUUC
rnacentral:rRNA from 1 species